AUUGAACGCUGGCGGCAGGCCUAACACAUGCAAGUCGAGCGCGAAAGUUCUUCGGAAUGAGUAAAGCGGCGGACGGGUGAGUAAUACAUGGGAAUCUGCCUGGUAGUGGGGGACAACGUUUCGAAAGGAACGCUAGUACCGCAUACGCCCUACGGGGGAAAGGGGGGGAUCUUCGGACCUCUCGCUAUCAGAUGAGCCCA
rnacentral:rRNA from 1 species